AUAUGGCUCAGGACGAACGCUGGCGGCGUGCCUAAUACAUGCAAGUCGAACGGCUUUUCUAUGGAAGCUUGCUUCCGCUGAGAAGAUAGUGGCGAACGGGGUGAGUAACACGUGGGUAACCCUGCCCAUAAGAGGGGGGAUAACAUCCGGAAACGGGUGCUAAUACCGCAUAGUUUUCUUGAUCGCAUGAUCGGGAAAGAAAAGACGGCCUUUGUGCUGUCGCUUAUGGAUGGACCCGCGGCGUAUUAGUUAGUUGGUGAGGUAACGGCUCACCAAGACGAUGAUACGUAGCCGACCUGAGAGGGUGAUCGGCCACAUUGGGACUGAGACACGGCCCAAACUCCUACGGGAGGCAGCAGUAGGGAAUCUUCCGCAAUGGACGAAAGUCUGACGGAGCAACGCCGCGUGAGUGAAAGAAGGUUUUCGGAUCGUAAAACUCUGUUGUCAGAGAAGAACAAGUUGGAGAGUAACUGCUCCAGCCUUGACGGUAUCUGACCAGAAAGCCACGGCUAACUACGUGCCAGCCGCGGC
rnacentral:rRNA from 1 species